rnacentral:rRNA from 1 species
UACGUAGGGCGCAAGCGUUAUCCGGAAUUAUUGGGCGUAAAGAGCUCGUAGGCGGUUUGUCGCGUCUGCUGUGAAAACUCGGGGCUCAACCCCGAGCCUGCAGUCGAUACGGGGCAAACUAGAGUGUGGUAGGGGAGACUGGAAUUCCUGGUGUAGCGGUGAAAUGCGCAGAUAUCAGGAGGAACACCGGCGGCGAAGGCGGGUCUCUGGGCCAUAACUGACGCUGAGGAGCGAAAAGCGUGGGGGAGCGAACAGG